rnacentral:lncRNA from 1 species
AACGAGAGUGAGAACUGAAUGCGAGACUAAGGCAAAAUCUGAUGGAGGUCACAUAUGAAAAUUGUACAUAAACUUAGCAAAACUAAGUAGAAGGCACAACUAAAGAAAGCACAACGAUAUCAAAUUGAGGCUCAUUGAUCGUGAUAAAUGUGAUGGCGCCGAAGGUUGAGAAUAUCCCAAAGCUCAUACGCAAAAGAUAUGAAGACGGUGAAAUUGUGACGGUGAUGGCAAUGAUGGCGAGGUAUGACAAUAGUAACUAUGGUUGAAAUGUAAUGAUGGUGUGACGGCGAAGUUGAG